rnacentral:rRNA from 1 species
ACUGGUAUUUUGUUAGAGGGAGAUAUUUGUGUCGUAAGGUUGGUUGAAACAUCUUUUUGUUUAGUAUUGUUGAUAGAAUGACUUGAAUUUUGAAAUGUUUAAUAAGUACUGAUAAGGAAAGUUGAGUUUUAAGCUAAUGAAAGUAAAGGCGAGAUCUUGUACCUUUUGUAUAAUGGUUUAUCUAGGGUUGAGAAAUAUAUUUUGUUUCCCGAAAUUGAGUGAUCUACUUAUUGGCUUUUGGCUUCAGUGUUGCAAAACUGUGCUUAGACUCGUGAGUAGGGGUGAGAUUCCUGUCGUACUUGAUGAUAGCUGGUUGGCUAGUAAAAAUAUAGAAGUAUUGGGUUUGCAGUUUACUGCGGUAGUUUGUUUAUUUCGGUAACGGUGAGUACUCGGACUAGAGAGGAUAAGCUCUUUAGUAGNNNNNNNNNNNNNNNNNUGAAGAAGCUGUUGGUUUGUGGGCUUAGGAUUGGCCACCAUUCGAGAUUUUGUUAUAAAUCGCUGUAAUUGUGUUUUUCUUAAAUUAAUAUAUUUUCCUAAUUGUGUUAUUAGCUUUCUAGGGGUAACUGUUGUUAUCUUAGUUGUUUCUGUUAGAAUGAGUAUUUUUAAGAAGUUGGUUGUUUUGAUUAUUUAGAGGAAGUGGAUGAUCGGGGAAUUGACGGAUAUUGAAAUAUAGAAAAGGAAUUCGGCAAAAAUUUGCUUCGCCUGUUUAUCNAAAACAUGUCUCUUCGUUUUUUUGAUAUGGGGAGUCUGGCCUGCCCGGUGACUAAUGAGUUAAACGGCCGCGGUACUUUGACCGUGCAAAGGUAGCAUAAUCAUUUGCCUCUUAAUUGGGGGGCUGGUAUGAAUGGCUUGACGAAAGCAUGUCUGUCUCUUUUAUAUUUUCUAGAAAUUGAUUUUCAGGUGAAAAAAGCCUGGAUUUACCUAAAAGACAAGAAGANNNNNNNNNNNNNNNNNNNNNNNNNNNNNNNNNNNUCAAGCUCAACAGGGUCUUCUUGUCNUUUUAUUUGUUUUUGGUUGGGGCGACCUAGGAACAGAUAAAGCUUCCUUAAGGAGUUUGUAGACUGUCGGGUCUGGAUCCGCUAUGUAGUGAUUGAAGGAAAUAGCUACCACAGGGAUAACAGCGUGAUCCUCUUUGAGAGUUCUUAUUGAAAAGGGGGGUUGCGACCUCGAUGUUGGACUAGGGUUUCCAGAAGGUGGAGAAGUUUUUUAGGUUAGUCUGUUCGACUAUUAAAACCCUACAUGAUCUGAGUUCAGACCGGCGUGAGCCAGGUCGGUUUCUAUCUUUAGUUUGUAAGAUGUCUUUGGUUAGUACGAAAGGACCGCUCUAGGCUAAAUAAUUUGGUGUUUAAUGUGUGUUAAUAAUUUGGAGUUAAAAAUUGUU